rnacentral:ncRNA from 1 species
UUAUUACUCAACUUACACAUGCAAGUCUCCGCAUCCCUGUGAAAAUGCCCUCAAANCCCCUUCAGGGGUCAGGAGCUGGUAUCAGGCUCGAUCCUCAGCCCACGACACCUAGCUAUGCCACACCCACAAGGGUAUACAGCAGUGAUUAACAUUGACCAUAAGCGCAAGCUUGACUCAGUCAGAGUAAGUAGAGCCGGCAAAUCUGGUGCCAGCCGCCGCGGCCACACCAGGNNGGCUCAAACUGAUUAUAUUCGGCGUAAAGCGUGAUUAAAGCCAACUUAAACUGCAGUUAAACUGGAGCUAAACUGUANAAACCCAUGANACCCAGGAAACACAAAAACGAAAGUCACUGCAAUAAAAUCCACUUGACCUCACGACAGUUAGGACACAAACUGGGAUUAGAUACCCCACUAUGCCUUACCGUAAACUUUAACUUACACCAAAAUCGCCAGGGAACUACGAGCAAUGCUUAAAACCCAAAGGACUUGACGGUGCCCCAUANCCACCUAGAGGAGCCUGUCCUAUAAUCGAUGACCCCCGUUCAACCUCACCACUCUUUGNCCUAUCAGUCUGUAUACCUCCGUCGUCAGCUUACCACGUGAGCGACUUNCAGUAAGCAAAAAGGUCCCNCCACCAAAACGUCAGGUCAAGGUGCAGCUUACGCAGUGGGAAGAGAUGGGCUACACUCUCUAACAUAGAACACACGAAAGACUAUUAAUGAAAUUUUAGUCAGAAGGCGGAUUUAGCAGUAAAACGAGACAAGAGAACUCNGCUUAAACACNGGCCCUGGGGNUGUGUACACACCGCCCGUCACCCUCUUCGAAACCCCCUUAAAAUAGUAUUUANACCCUAUAUCUUUUAUAAAGAAGAGGCANAGUCGUAACAUGGUAAG